UGGGGAAUAUUGCACAAUGGGCGAAAGCCUGAUGCAGCAACGCCGCGUGAGGGAUGACGGCCUUCGGGUUGUAAACCUCUUUUAGCAGGGAAGAAGCGAGAGUGACGGUACCUGCAGAAAAAUGCGCCGGCUAACUACGUGCCAGCAGCCGCGGUAAUACGUAGGGCGCGAGCGUUGUCCGGAAUUAUUGGGCGUAAAGAGCUCGUAGGCGGUUUGUCGCGUCUGCUGUGAAAUCCCGAGGCUCAACCUCGGGCUUGCAGUGGGUACGGGCAGACUAGAGUGCGGUAGGGGAGACUGGAACUCCUGGUGUAGCGGUGGAAUGCGCAGAUAUCAGGAAGAACACCGAUGGCGAAGGCAGGUCUCUGGGCCGUUACUGACGCUGAGGAGCGAAAGCAUGGGGAGCAAACAGGAUUAGAUACCCUGGUAGUCCAUGCCGUAAACGUUGGGUGCUAGACGUGGGGCCUUUC
rnacentral:rRNA from 1 species